rnacentral:rRNA from 1 species
UGGGGAAUAUUGCACAAUGGGCGAAAGCCUGAUGCAGCGACGCCGCGUGCGGGAUGAAGGCCUUCGGGUUGUAAACCGCUUUUAAUUGGGAGCAAGCGAGAGUGAGUGUACCUUUUGAAUAAGCACCGGCUAACUACGUGCCAGCAGCCGCGGUAAUACGUAGGGUGCAAGCGUUAUCCGGAAUUAUUGGGCGUAAAGAGCUCGUAGGCGGUUUGUCACGCCUGGUGUGAAAGUCCAUCGCUUAACGGUGGAUCUGCGCCGGGUACGGGCAGGCUAGAGUGCAGUAGGGGAGAUUGGAAUUCCCAGUGUAACGGUGGAAUGUGUAGAUAUCGGGAAGAACACCAAUGGCGAAGGCAGAUCUCUGGGCUGUUACUGACGCUGAGGAGCGAAAGCAUGGGGAGCGAACAGGAUUAGAUACCCUGGUAGUCCAUGCCGUAAAACGGUGGAUGCUGGAUGUGGGACCCUUCCACGGGUU